AUCCAAUAUAGAAAUAAUUUAGUCUAAGAUUCUUAUAAUUAAAUUACACAAGAAUAAUUGGAAAAAAAAUCACCUAGAAACAAGAAAGAUGGAAGAAGUAGGAGAAAUCCACGUUCUUGACUCAAAUCUUGAAAUGGGGCUAUGAAUCUUCAAAAUUCUUGUACAAUUCACUUAGAAUUGACAUAUAGAUUUUUUCUUCGCUUCUAAAAUAUGUAGAAUAUGAUGAAAUUUAGGUUGAAUAGAGGAACUCCAUGUUUUGGUCGAGAUUUGAUAUUUAGAGGAUGUGAAAAAGAUUGUAUUGAAUUGUUGCCAAAACAAAAAUAAGAAAAAUCAGAUUCUUUCCAUAUCUGUACUGAGGCGCAUGCCUAGGCAUUUCCAAGGCUCGCGUCUCUUCUGUAGGCCUAGGCACACCUAGGCUUAUCCGAGUAGCUUUCAAUAACUUCUCUCCCAACAUUCAUUUGAGGUGAUUCAGAGUGUAUCGAAAAGAUAACGCAAAGGGCUACAAUUCUUCUAGCAAAAUAUUUUUUUCAAUUCAAAUGUUUGCCAUGCCAAAAGUGGGUCUCAAUGUGCAACUAAAAGUCUGGAGCAUAACAUUUUCGGUUAGAAAUUGAUGUAUGCUAAUACUUUUAUUAUACUUCACUCUUUUCACUUAUUUUCUUAUCCAAUUGACCCCUAGCACAUCUCGAAUUUUCAUCGUACAUAACUGUUGAGUAUUUGCACUUUAGUCCACCGAACUUUGGAUUUCACCAUUCUUCUUUAUUUUUUCCUUUAUUUCUUUCAAUUCUUCAUCAAAUCAUUGAGUUUUACCUAUCAAAUACAAUAUACAACGAAUUAAUCGAUAUUUCAUCAAAAGAAUUAUAAAAUGUUAUUAUUGAAAGCUCCAAAUAAUUGUAUAAAAUACCCUUAUCAAACCUCGAAACUUGAAUGUUUUUUUAUCCUCGAACAAAACCACGACCUAUUUGAAACAAACACACAAGCAUGUAAAAGUUUUGGAUCGAUAACAUGGCUUUUUACCUCAAGAUUGAAAUCAUAAUAUCAAAU
rnacentral:lncRNA from 1 species